rnacentral:rRNA from 1 species
UACGAAGGGUGCAAGCGUUACUCGGAAUUACUGGGCGUAAAGCGUGCGCAGGCGGUGAUGUAAGACAGGUGUGAAAUCCCCGGGCUUAACCUGGGAACUGCAUUUGUGACUGCAUCGCUGGAGUGCGGCAGAGGGGGAUGGAAUUCCGCGUGUAGCAGUGAAAUGCGUAGAUAUGCGGAGGAACACCGAUGGCGAAGGCAAUCCCCUGGGCCUGCACUGACACUGAGGCACGAAAGCGUGGGGAGCAAACAGG